GCCGGUGUAGCUCAGUUGGCAGAGCAACUGAUUCGUAAUCAGUAGGUCGGUGGUUCGAAUCCACUCAUCGGCACCA
rnacentral:tRNA from 1 species